rnacentral:rRNA from 1 species
AUUGAACGCUGGCGGCAGGCCUAACACAUGCAAGUCGAACGAGUGGCGGACGGGUGAGUAAUUUCUGGGAAACUGCCCGAUGGAGGGGGAUAACUACUGGAAACGGUAGCUACUACCGCAUACCAUCGGAUGUGCCCAGCUGGGAUUAGCUAGUAGGUGGGGUAAAGGCUCACCUAGGCGACGAUGCCUAGCUGGUCUGAGAGGGUGACCAGCCACACUGGAACUGAGACACGGUCCAGACUCCUACGGGAGGCAGCAGUGGGGAAUAUUGCACAAUGGGCGCAAGGCUGAUGCAGCCAUGCCGCGUGUAUGAAGAAGGUCUUCGGGUUGUAAAGCACUUUCAGCGGGGAGGCGUUACCCGCAGAAGAAGCACCGGCUAACUACGUGCCAGCAGCCGCGGUAAUUC